UGCACUUUUAUUUUUCAGGCCUUUCGUACAUAUCAUCACACGUGUCUCUUCUUGUACUAAUAUGAUUGUUUAAUGUAUUAUUUGUAGUAAUAAUAGCAGACAGUGUUCAGUUGAUUAUUUGAAAACUUGUUGGCUGGCUAUGUCUUAUUUUGAUAAGUUUUCACCGGAAGUAUUUGUAUGCUUAUAGUUACUCUUUGUGACCUUUAGAGAAGGCAGCAACACCGAUGAUGAUCAUGAUCAUGUCCAUCUUAUGUUUGUAUAUGGGAGAGCAAUGGUCUUCACAGCAGUCAGAGCUUCAUUGCAGGCCCUGGAAAUGUGAGAUGGUGGCAACAGGAAGCCAUAACGCCCACGGUCCUGGAGCUCAAAUGUGAAGGAGUAUUUGAUGCCAAGGUUGUACGCCCAAUCAUCAGAACCACCGGGAGCCAAGUCUGGAGAGCAGACAACAACAUGAAUGUGUGCAGGAGUACGGGAAGAGCAGCAUCUGAGAGUAGGAGUGGAUGCUGAGGUAGAUCUGAACUACGUCCUUGUGACGGCGCAGGAAGUUGGCCACAGCCUGCGACUCUGGUUCAGACUCAGGGAAGGCACCGCAGUAG